CCUACGGGAGGCAGCAGUAAGGAAUAUUGGACAAUGCUCGCAAGAGUGAUCCAGCCAUGCCGCGUGCAGGAAGACGGCCCUAUGGGUUGUAAACUGCUUUUGAACUAGAGAAAACCCUCCUACGUGUAGGAGGCUGAUAGUAUAGUUAGAAUAAGCAUCGGCCAACUUCGUGCCAGCAGCCGCGGUAAGACGAAGGAUGCAAGCGUUAUCCGGAUUCAUUGGGUUUAAAGGGAGCGUAGGUGGACUGAUAAGUCGGUGGUGAAAUCUCUCGGCUUAACCGAGAAAUUGCCAUUGAUACUGUUGGUCUUGAGUACAGUUGCUGUGGGCGGAAUAUGACAUGUAGUGGUGAAAUACAUAGAGAUGUCAUAGAACACCGAUUGCGAAGGCAGCUCACAAAGCUGUAACUGACACUGAGGCUCGAAAAUGCGGGGAUCAAACAGGAUUAGAUACCCUGGUAGUCCGCACCGUAAACGAUGAUUACUCGCUGCUGGGAGGUAACUUUCAGUGGCUUAGCGAAAGCGAUAAGUAAUCCACCUGGGGAGUACGCCGGCAACGGUGAAACUUAAAGGAAUUGACGG
rnacentral:rRNA from 1 species